rnacentral:tRNA from 1 species
GCCCUAGUGGUGCUAUGGUUAAGCACUUGGCUGCUAACCAAAAGGUUGGUGGUUCGGACCCACCCAGCAGCU